GGCUUCAUGGUCUAGUGGUAUGAUUCCUGCUUCGGGAAAUAACCUAGAGUCCCCGGUUCAUAGAAUCGCCUUUGCAGGAGGCCCCGGGUUCGAAUCCCGGUGAAGCCC
rnacentral:tRNA from 1 species